GACGAACGCUGGCGGCGUGCCUAACACAUGCAAGUCGAACGGUGAAGCUCCAGCUUGCUGGAGUGGCUCAGUCGCGAACGUGUGAGUAACACGUGAGCAACCUGCCCCUGACUCUGGCAUAAGCGCUGGAAACGGCGUCUCAUACUGGCUACGAGACGGGUCCGCCUGGGCACUUUCUGGAAAGUAUUUCGGUUGGUGACGGGCUCGCGGCCUAUCAGCUUGUUGGUGAGGUAGUGGCACACCUAGGCGACGCCGGGUAGCCGGCCUGAGAGGGCGACCGGCCACAAUGGGACGGAGAGAGGGCACAGUCUGCUACGGGAGGCAACAGGGGGGAAUAUUGCACAAUGGGGGAAAGCCUGGUGCAGCGACGCCGGGGGUGGGAUGACGCCGUUCGUGGUGUAAACCUCUUUCACCAGGGAAGGAGCGAUAGUGACGGUACCUGAAGAAGAAGCAGCGGCUAACUACGUG
rnacentral:rRNA from 1 species